GCGAAGGUGAAGAAAUCGACCCUAAGAGAAUAAAAUAGUGUUUUAUGUAUAAUAAUUAACAAAUGAAGAGUGCUCAAGGUGUCUGCUGCUAAUUGUUGAGCUCAAUUGUUGCGUAAAAUUGCCCUCUUAAAAGUUCAGCUGCUUAGGCUGCCGACAAUACGGGAACACCUACGACGCAAACUUCCUCAACACCCGGUACCUGCAUUAUAAGUUCUUCCAGCUCCGAAGGGGACACCGGGUCGAUAUACUUGAAUAUCUCACUUUUCCGAUCGACUAUGUAUAGAUAGCCGUCCUCAUCGAAGUAUCCCACAUCACCGGUCUGGAACCAUCCAUCCUCGUCGAGCACUGAUUCGGUAGCUUCUGCGUUUCUGUAAUAACC